rnacentral:misc_RNA from 1 species
GUGGUUGGUGGUUAGUGAAGAGUAGCUCACAUUUUAUGUGAACUGUUGGGAUGUCAUUUUAUUUGCUUUGCUAAUUUUAUUUUAUUGUUUUUGCCAGUUGUUGCUUCUGCUUCUGCAUUUCUCUAAACCCCUCUUUACUAGUAUAUCCAGACUCCAGAGACAGAAAGAAGAAGAAAUCUCGAUUUAGUGAUUGAUUUUGGUAAAAAAUGGCGUCGAAGUUGUUAAUGCUAACUAUUUUCGUAUUCGAUCUGAUUGCUUUUGGUUUGGCUAUUGCUGCUGAGCGGAGAAGAAGCACUGCAAAUAUCAAAAAAGAUGGUGAAGAUGAACAUAGCUAUUGCGUCUAUGACUCUGAUAUAGCAACUGGAUUUGGUGUUGGUGCCUUUUUAUUUCUUAUGCUUAGUCAAAUAAUUGUAAUGGUGGCGAGCCGUUGCUUCUGCUGUGGAAAGGCUUUGAGGCCUGGAGGUUCAAGAGCUUGUGCUGUUCUCUUAUUCAUCAUAUGCUGGGUUGCAUUUUUUAUAGCUGAGGUCUGCUUGUUGGCUGGUUCGGUUAGAAAUGCUUAUCAUACCAAGUAUCGAUCAUCAUACUUGACGAGUGAUAAACCUCUAUCAUGUGAAACUCUGAGAAAAGGAGUUUUUGCAGCUGGAGCAGCUUUCGUUUUCUUCACCAGUAUACUCUCUCAGUUCUACUAUGUGACCUAUGCCAAGGCGCUAGGUGGCCCCAUGCCGUAUGGUGGUGAAGCCGGCGUUGGCAUGGCAGCCUACAAAUGAGGGUGAUCAAGGUCGUUACGUUUAUAUGUUAAAAAAUAAUAGUUGGGAUUUUGAAGUUUAUGUAUAAUACAACUUUCUAUUGCUUAGUUGCAAAGUUCGUUGUACCAUAUUCCUUCUGCAUAAAAUUUUUGUUCAGUUAGUGUGAACUUUCAUCUGCAAACAUCUGUUUAGAUUUGAGAUUGAGAGUGAACUGUUUCUUUUUUUUUCUUUGUUGAACCAACAGGAAGUCUCUGUAGCAAGGUACUUGUUGGAUUGCAUGGCGUGAGACGGGCUUAAAUAGAGUGAUAUGUACAUUCAACUUGUUUGUGAUUGAUGCGUUGAGGAAUAAAUUAGAAGCAUUAGAUGUGUACAAACGAGAUAUUAAGUAAAGGCAAUGAUUUGAGAAUAGAAAACCUUCAUC